rnacentral:rRNA from 1 species
GAUGAACGCUGGCGGCGUGCCUAAUACAUGCAAGUCGAGCGAACGGACGAGAAGCUUGCUUCUCUGAUGUUAGCGGCGGACGGGUGAGUAACACGUGGAUAACCUACCUAUAAGACUGGGAUAACUUCGGGAAACCGGAGCUAAUACCGGAUAAUAUUUUGAACCGCAUGGUUCAAAAGUGAAAGACGGUCUUGCUGUCACUUAUAGAUGGAUCCGCGCUGCAUUAGCUAGUUGGUAAGGUAACGGCUUACCAAGGCAACGAUGCAUAGCCGACCUGAGAGGGUGAUCGGCCACACUGGAACUGAGACACGGUCCAGACUCCUACGGGAGGCAGCAGUAGGGAAUCUUCCGCAAUGGGCGAAAGCCUGACGGAGCAACGCCGCGUGAGUGAUGAAGGUCUUCGGAUCGUAAAACUCUGUUAUUAGGGAAGAACAUAUGUGUAAGUAACUGUGCACAUCUUGACGGUACCUAAUCAGAAAGCCACGGCUAACUACGUGCCAGCAGCCGCGGUAAUACGUAGGUGGCAAGCGUUAUCCGGAAUUAUUGGGCGUAAAGCGCGCGUAGGCGGUUUUUUAAGUCUGAUGCGAAAGCCCACGGCUCAUCCGUGGAGGGUCAUUGGAAACUGGAAAACUUGAGUGCAGAAGAGGAAAGUGGAAUUCCAUGUGUAGCGGUGAAAUGCGCAGAGAUAUGGAGGAACACCAGUGGCGAAGGCGACUUUCUGGUCUGUAACUGACGCUGAUGUGCGAAAGCGUGGGGAUCAAACAGGAUUAGAUACCCUGGUAGUCCACGCCGUAAACGAUGAGUGCUAAGUGUUAGGGGGUUUCCGCCCCUUAGUGCUGCAGCUAACGCAUUAAGCACUCCGCCUGGGGAGUACGACCGCAAGGUUGAAACUCAAAGGAAUUGACGGGGACCCGCACAAGCGGUGGAGCAUGUGGUUUAAUUCGAAGCAACGCGAAGAACCUUACCAAAUCUUGACAUCCUUUGACAACUCUAGAGAUAGAGCCUUCCCCUUCGGGGGACAAAGUGACAGGUGGUGCAUGGUUGUCGUCAGCUCGUGUCGUGAGAUGUUGGGUUAAGUCCCGCAACGAGCGCAACCCUUAAGCUUAGUUGCCAUCAUUAAGUUGGGCACUCUAAGUUGACUGCCGGUGACAAACCGGAGGAAGGUGGGGAUGACGUCAAAUCAUCAUGCCCCUUAUGAUUUGGGCUACACACGUGCUACAAUGGACAAUACAAAGGGCAGCGAAACCGCGAGGUCAAGCAAAUCCCAUAAAGUUGUUCUCAGUUCGGAUUGUAGUCUGCAACUCGACUACAUGAAGCUGGAAUCGCUAGUAAUCGUAGAUCAGCAUGCUACGGUGAAUACGUUCCCGGGUCU